UAUAAAAUAGAUUGUGCUGACGUACCUUAGUUACCGUCCUAUAGCGAAUGUUUGGCUAUUGAAUAUCAAUUAGGUGUUGCUGACGUUGCUUGCUAACGUUCCAAUGGCUAAGCAGCCGGUUAUGAAUAUUAACAGCCAAGUCUUCGCCAUAGUAAUAUUCGUAAAUUUUCUUCCGGCAGCUACGCCUCGCAGAUUUACAUCACUAUUGCGUUGUCAAGUAAAUCAUAAGAGGUUUAUAAUGGUAUUGGAACCAUGUGAAUUUAGGUUCUCGGAAGCGAAAAGUAAUUAUCACCACCAUAAAACUGGAAACUAACGUUACAGCAUGGAGACAUUUCCUACUACGACCAGUAAGGAGCAGCGGCUGUGCUAAACCACACCUAUUCUACACCAUCUGCUCUGUGGUCCUUUGAAAGCUUGAAAGAUUACUGAUGCGUGCUACUGUGUUUACCAAUACAAAGGAUGACUUCGGCUCAAAGCCAGGCAAGUUCCCAUUUAACAGAUGAGUCUGCAGAGAAGUGGGGCUUACUCAGCCAGAGAUUAAUGUCCCAGGCUGGUGGAGGCUCAGCUCAGGGAGUACGAGGUGCACAGUCAUGAAUUCCCAUCUGUCACUGCUGGCUUUAUAAACAUAGGUGGAGUAGCUGUAUACUGCAGUCAAUUUGGACUAUUUUCAACAGGACGGAAGUCUCAGAAGGGUGCACAGCUUAUUUUGUGCUUCGCACCCCUCAGAGAUUUCCAUACCGUCAACUGCCAGCUGAGCCAAUUCUGCAUGCUUUGCCAAGGACAAAAUUGAGUUUCAGAGCCUUGGGUACCAACCAAGUCACCUUGGAAUGUACAGAAGCAUGCUGUGGCUCGUCAGUCUAUUCUCAUGUUGUUUGGACCAGGUGAUUACACAGGCAUAGAGUGACACGUAGUCGCUAAACAACAUCACACAGCAGCAAGAAACUUGCAGUCACAUACCUUUGAUCUUGCAUCUCUAUUAAAUAAAGGCAAAAUGAAAGGUUAAAAGCCCUAAAUAAAACUUAAUAAAUUAACAUUUAUAAACUGCAAAAUCAGAGUGGAACAAACUAGUAUAAAUUUUGGUUUUGAUUUGAUUUCUGCAAGACAGUCAGUUUCUCAGAAGCAAGAAUGUGAAAUCAGGUGGUGAGGCUUGACUGGCAGUCUCUGCCACUAAGGUUAGUAUCUUCCCUUCAGCCUCAAGAAGAAAUGUGAAGAAUCUCGGGACUAACAAUAUAUUGUAUUACAGACAUAUAGUAGAUAUAAGAAUGAAACUAUCACAUUAAACAUGAGUUCUCAAUGUACUACUGAAAUUGAUUUCUGGACAUCAUAAUGUUAUUUUUUUCUACAAUUGUUAGGCCUAUUGUACAUAUGUGAUAUAGCAUUGUAUUAGAAAUUACAACCCCCCCACCCACUUUUUACAACAAAAUUACGCAACUGUUUCGACAUAUUAGGCAUAUGAAUAAAAGAACAUGUGUGCAUAGUUUAAUGCAAAUAUUAUUUGCAAAUAGUUCCAAAAUGAUUAUUUCCCAACUAGAAUUAGACCUUGAAUUUCCUUCACUGUUCUGUUUCUUUAUGCUUUAUAAAAAAUUAUAAAAAAUAAAUUAAAAAAUUGGUCGCCCCCAAUGUUCAAGACAUGGUUACGGCCUUGAUGUAUAGGACAUAAGCACUCCAAACUAUGACAGAACUAAAUUUGUUAGUUUAGCCAGUUGCUGAAAAAAAGUUAUACUGGGUAUUGUUGGGGAUUUUGUAAUACUGAACGACGCUUAGAUCUUCAUUAGCCACUAUAUGUCUUUGUGAAAAAUACAGACAAGGUAAGCAAAUCCGAGUAGGUAGGGAAGGAAGGAGCUGUCCUUGGUCCUGAGCGCAGUGACUGCCUUAGAACUGAGCGAAGACUGAAAGCAGCGCUGCCCACAGAGCUAAACUUGUCACAUGUCAUGUGAUCCAAGGUCACAUGUUGUGCGAUCCAGGAGUAGCACAUAUCAGGCUGUUCAGAAGAGAAUAGUACUUACUGAAUACAGUGCAGAAGUAUGCUACAUAGUCACAUGACCUCCAGCGUUGUAAUUGUUAACUAACACUAAACCUUUAAAAUUGUUUUUGUUAACUGAAAUAAAGCUGAAAUAAAGUGAUGUAUAAAUAUUAGAUCAACUUAAAAAAAAACAACAAAAAAAAAACAAACGAAAAUUAGAAAUGUUGCUUUGGCAACUAACUGAAAUACAAUAGUUGAAGUAAAUUCAUAAAAUUGAAAUAAAUACAAACUGAAUCUAAAAUAAAAUCUAAAAAUAAAAGCUAAUUCAAAAUAUUAUGUAUGUAAGAAAAAAGGUACGAGAGGCUGUGACGUAUCUUGAAUAAGUCACGGCUGAAGGGCGUUGUUAGGCACGACAUGAAGCGGAGUGCCUGCAACCCCUUCAGCCGUGACUUAUUCACAAUACAGCACUAGCCUCGAGUACCUUAUUGCUUUUAUAAAACAGUUACCAGACAAUUCAAAUAUUAAAGCCAGAAAUAUGUAUCGAUACAACUAUGAAGUAAACUUUUUCUAAAAGCCUUCCUUCCGCCAGAAAAAUAGUCCCUGACCGUGACCAGCAACAGUUACAUUUUCACGCAAUUAGAUGGCGGCAAAGACUGUCUUUAUGAGUGUGUAAGUCAGUAGCGAAGACCUUUAUAUUGAAAAGACUGAAUUGUUUUGAAAACAGAACAAGGCGCAAAUGCUUUGACUAGCGCUGUCAGUCACGGGAAAACCCCUUAAAUGUUAAAAGGACAAGAUGAUACAUCGGACAUUUAAACAGAUUUUUUAUUAUGAACAUAGGACUGACCUGAAGGAAAAUGCUAAAUCUGAAUGCAGGUAAUAAACUCGCUCACUCGAUCUUUUUCUCACAACACUCUUCUACAUAAUAUAGUAAGCUUCAAUGAACAAUUUCAAUUGAGAACAUACAGUUUACAUUGCUAAGAGUGGAACCGUUGGGUAAAGCGGUCAUAGCUCUGUUUUAUCGUAAAUAAAACACAGCUAUUGGCCAAUCAGAAUCAAGGACAGGAACUAAAUGUUUUAUAAUAAUAAAUAAUAUACUAUAUAAAUAAUUCUAAAAUAUCUCAACAGGUGGUAUUCUAUUAUCAUCUUGUAUUAAAUAAUGACAACAUUUUUGCAGUCAGAUGAUUAAAUUAAUCAAUAAAAAUAAAAGGCGAGAAGAGAAAUUGCUGAUAUUCCAGUUCAUCCAUCACGGAAAUUGAAAGUCAAGUUGAGCACAUUGUAUUGUGGGAUUCGAUGCAAUUCUGUGCAUACAGAAAAUAUGCACAGUGAGCACAGUAUAUACUGCAGCGAUAAAGAAUAGUAUAGUAUGCUAAUCCGAAUAAAGCCUCGGAUAAGGAGGUGUUUAUCUGCAGUCUCUUUAAGGACAGGAAUAUUACUUUGACAAAGACCCAUCUAAACUCUUAAGCCUCUUAAACACAUUUAAGAUAUACAUUUUUGGGCAUGUGGAGAGGGAGAAAAGUUUUUAAGGAACCGACUGAAAGCAAAAGAUGGAGACAGAAUUACCGACAGCUCUUUUAGUCAUUAAGCAUCUUGAAGGUCAACAAAAAUAGUGACUCACUGUUUUAUUGUAUCAUAAUAUGAGCUCAUCCCUGUCCAUUUAAAAUGAUAAAAACACAACUUCCACUAUCCCAGUUUUUAAUUGACAAAAAGGUUUUUAUAGUAUAAGAGUUGGGAAUCAAAACUGUAAUUAAAUCAUGGGCAAAGAAGUAGCUCCAUUGUCCUUGAACAAGUCAGUAUUGUAGUAAUAAAUUUAUAUGUAGUAUAUGUAAUAAAUUUAAUUUGAUUAAAAGGUUUUGAUUGGUCGAUGCUGUCACCACCAACUACUACACAAUCUCAUUUUUCUAAUAUGAACAGGCUCUCUUUGCAGCCAAUAACAAGAACACACAGAAUGACUAGUUUCACCUCAUUGUGUGCACGGCCUUUUGGAAGGGGGACAUGCAAGGUGAGAUGUAGAAACGGGCUCUUGUCAUUAGAAAAAUGAGAGAGUCCUGAGUCGCAGCCAGAAAUGUUAUUUAUUCCUUUGAGAUGCCGGCUGCCAAGCUUUGAGUGGUCUGCUGGCAUUGUAUCGGAUUAAAAGCAGAACAACAUCUUUGUGUUUUGAAUUCGGAAGUUUGCUGAAAUCAAAUUCAAUUAGAGAAUGAAUGAUUCAUACAGUCCGGCAGAUGAUGAAUUAUUCAUUACAUUUCCAUAACAAACGAUGAAAUCACAGCCUUGUCUUUAUGAAUGCUUGUCACGCUCCCAUAUUCAUAAACUCUUGCUUCUCAGCUUGAUUAUCUCUUAGAUCUCUCACAGUCUUUGGAGAAGUUGGGUGAUGAACCAUUACAUGAAGUUAACUUUGAUCAAUGCAAUUUGGUCUCCUUUGUCUCUUUCUUGAGGAGAGAUUUGCCAAACAAUAGCUUCCAGAUUUUGCUCAUCUCAUUAUUUUUUUCUGGCCAUAGUUUGAGUUGAGUUGAAAUAAAGUGGGAAUGGCCUGUUAUGGGAUGCAAAUCAAAUAUAUAGUGUAAUAGGACUCAUCCUAGGGUCUAAAAUCUUCCAAAAUGUGUAUCUCGAUUCUUGAUCAUGGUUAUGUGACAGGAAACAUCCCAACAGCAUUUUCAGUUGUGAAAAAUAAUAUUGUGAAUCUGUUAAAGAGGUUUUAACAUGCUCCUAAUAAUGAAAUGUUCAAUAGUAAUGUGUUUUAGUUUCUUUUCAUUUCUCUAAAUGAAUCACGAGAGUAAGAAAGAGUUCUAGAAUCUGCAAUUAAACGCAGAAAAGUUGUUGGGGACUAUUUGUGUGCCAUUCAAAAUGUCCACAAGAUGGCAGUGUAACACUAAUCAUACAAAUCAGAAUGUGAAAAGUCAAACAUUUACACAAGGUAAUGGCUGAUCAACUAUAUGAAGAUAAUUUAUGGUUGCAAAUAUAUUGUACAAACAAUGCAUUAUCUAUCUUUAAAACAAAUAAUAAAUCAGAAAAUCUGUCA